UUAUAGAGGGAGUAGUUAUAGAGGUUAUAGAGGGAGUAGUUAUAGAGGUUAUAGAGGGAGUAGUUAUAGAGGGUGUAGAGGGUGUAGUUAUAGAGGUUAUAGAGGGAGUAGUUAUAGAGGUUAUAGAGGAGUAGUUAUAGAGGUUAUAGAGGGAGUAGUUAUAGAGGUUAUAGAGGGAGUAGUUAUAGAGGUUAUAGAGGGAGUAGUUAUAGAGGUUAUAGAGGGAGUAGUUAUAGAGGUUAUAGAGGGAGUGGUUAUAGAGGGAGUAGUUAUAGAAGUUAUAAAGGGAGUAGUUAUAUAGGUUAUAGAGGGAGUAGUUAUAGAGGUUAUAGAGGUUAUAGAGGGAGUAGUUAUAGAGGUUAUAGAGGGAGUAGUUAUAGAGGGUGUAGUUAUAGAGGUUAUAGAGAGAGUAGUUAUAGAGGUUAUAGAGGGAGUAGUUAUAGAGGUUAUAGAGGGAGUAGUUAUAGUUAUAGAGGGAGUAGUUAUAGAGGUUAUAGAGGGAGUAGUUAUAGAGGUUAUAGAGGGAGUAGUUAUAGUAGUUAUAGAGGUUAUAGAGGGAGUAGUUAUAUAG
ensembl:lncRNA